rnacentral:rRNA from 1 species
UACGUAGGUGGCAAGCGUUGUCCGGAUUUAUUGGGUUUAAAGGGUGCGUAGGCGGCCCUGUAGGUCAGUGGUGAAAUACUCCAGCUUAGCUGGAGGGGUGCCAUUGAUACUGCAGGGCUUGAGUGGAGUCGAAGUAGGCGGAAUUGACGGUGUAGCGGUGAAAUGCGCAGAUAUCAGGAGGAACACCGAUGGCGAAGGCAGUGGGCUGGGCCGGCACUGACGCUGAGGAGCGAAAGCAUGGGGAGCGAACAGG